rnacentral:rRNA from 1 species
GGCUCAGAUUGAACGCUGGCGGCAUGCCUUACACAUGCAAGUCGAACGGCAGCACGGACUUCGGUCUGGUGGCGAGUGGCGAACGGGUGAGUAAUGCAUCGGAACGUGCCAUUGAGUGGGGGAUAACGUAGCGAAAGUUGCGCUAAUACCGCAUAUUCUGUGAGCAGGAAAGCAGGGGACCGCAAGGCCUUGCGCUCUUUGAGCGGCCGAUGUCAGAUUAGCUAGUUGGUGAGGUAAGGCUUACCAAGGCGACGAUCUGUAGCGGGUCUGAGAGGAUGAUCCGCCACACUGGAACUGAGACACGGUCCAGACUCCUACGGGAGGCAGCAGGUGGGGUAAUUUUGGACAAUGGGGCAACCCUGAUCCAGCCAUGCCGCGUGAGUGAAGAAGGCCUUCGGGUUGUAAAGCUCUUUCGGCCGGGAAGAAAUCGCAUGGGCCAAUACCCUGUGUGGAUGACGGUACCGGAAUAAGAAGCACCGGCUAACUACGUG